CACAGGCAUUGACUGCCAGGGAACAUAUUGCUUGUGUGAGAUUUUGCAAAGGAUAGCAGAGCUCCUCAGUGGUCUUGGUAAUGAGCCAGAAAAGCAAGGACAAAAAUCUUGAGAACUUUACUCUUUAAUCCUGGGUAGGAGACAGGAUCUUAAGGUUCUGUGUGUAAGUGGUUUAGUUGAACCAGGAAACUUUUGGUGCAGCAGAGACAUAACAGCCCUGAAUAUUGCAGUGUUUGUCUUUGGCAGUAAUUUGGAAAAGGCACUGCAGAGGCAGGAACAAGAAUCCCCAGGAGAGCAGAUGCAAUGUAAUCUGCCCCAGUACAACAUUCUCUGUGGUUUUAAUAGCUGGCAUAAAUCCCAACUAGUAAGGUUGUUCCACCUCUUUUAAAAUGCCUUUUUAGUUGUCAAGAAGAGCUGUUAAGUGAAUUCAAAUGAGCUAGUAUUAAGAAGUGAAAUAAUAUUUAUAUAGGGCUUGGAUAGAUUUGACUUCACCUCUUUAACUAAACUGGGUGAAGGCAAAAUGUUGGAAACUGAUGAUCACUGAAAAAUAAUCUGGAUGAGGAAUGCUUAUUAAUUUUAACUUAAUUAUCUAUCCCUAAAGGGUUUUUAAUAUUGUUUUUUAUAUAUGUGGAAAUUCUUGUCUCGAGGCAGACAGCUCUGCAGUGUGGAUCACCUGAGAGUACAAAUUUGGGCCACAGUACUUGUGAUGACAGCACUGCAUUUCUACCAUUAAUUAGCAUCUUGUGGAGCUAAUGUUAAUCCACUGUCCUUCAAAAACUGCUCAAUAGCCCUGAUUUUUUGCCACAUGUUCUCUGCCUUUUCAGUCCUCCAACGCCCUGUGGGAAGCAGACCCCAUUGCCAUGGCAGAUUGCAGUGUUUGCAUGUUGGUGGCUGCUGCUGCCUUGUCCAUCACUAUCACAACAGGAGUUCUGCUGGAAAGCAACUCAUAAGAAAAAUUUAGGACUUUUCCAGCAGGGAGACUGCCACAGAGGAAAGGACAUCCUUCAGCCUGCAGUGACAGGGAUUCCCAGCUGCUCAGCAGAGAACUGGACAAUGAGAGCAACCUGGGCAAUGUGCUACCAUGGACCUGGGAAGCUGGGAAGAACAUGGACAGUAAGCUGCAGAUGAUGGUCUGGAAAAGCCUGUGCCCAUGUGAUGCAAACCAUUAAGGCCCUGCUUCCUUCAAAGAUAAAACUGACUGCUGGUUUCAAGGGCUAUUUAUUGCCAUGACAGUGACAUAUCACUCUGAGUACUGACUGUUAAAGGACUGUUAGCACCUACCUGAUCUGAAAAAGUACAAACAUUCAACCAAAAUUGCUGUAUUAAUAGACCAGUCUAAAAUAAAUAAACAGGAA